rnacentral:rRNA from 1 species
CUAGCGACAGGCCUAACACAUGCAAGUCGAGGGGCAGCACAAGGAGCAAUCUGAGGUGGCGACCGGCGGCACGGGUGAGUAACACGUAUGCAACCUGCCUGUAAGCGGGGAAUAACCCGUUGAAAGACGGACUAAUACCGCAUAAUACUAAAUUACUGCAUGGUAAUUUAUUUAAACAUUUAUGGCUUACAGAUGGGCAUGCGCAUGAUUAGCUAGUUGGAGAGGUAACGACUCCCCAAGGCAACGAUCAUUAGGGGUUCUGAGAGGAAGGUCCCCCACACUGGUACUGAGACACGGACCAGACUCCUACGGGAGGCAGCAGUGAGGAAUAUUGGUCAAUGGACGAGAGUCUGAACCAGCCAAGUCGCGUGCAGGAAGAAUGUCCCUAUGGAUUGUAAACUGCUUUUGCAGGGGAAUAAAGUGCAUCACGUGUGAUGUUUUGUAUGUACUCUGCGAAUAAGGAUCGGCUAACUCCGUGCCAGCAGCCGC